CUGCUGACAAGGAACGCCAGAUCCAGCUGCGCUGCGAGGAGCAGUGGGGGUGAGAGGGAACCAGCACAUGCCCGGGUUCAAUGAGGGAGACUACAUCGAGAAUAUUGAAAGAGUAGAUGACACGGAGGAAGGAGCCAGCCUUGGAGUCAGAAUGUGCUUCAAUAGAAACCUGCCUCUGCUCCGUAUUGCCUAGGACUUCCAGAUCUCAGAAGGACUCCAGUUAUCCCCUACUUCCAGAACCUGUCCUUCUAGUGGAACCCUGGGGCCCUCUCCAGAGAAGAAUCAAGAAUCCAGUUCAUCAGCAAGGUCAAGGUCAUGGUGGGGGCUAGGGUGAGAGCUGAGGCAAGAGCCGGGUGCAGGGGCCACCUCUUCCCCUUGCCCUGCUCAUGAUCCAGGAGUCUGGGGCAGGCUGCCCCCUCAGAGGUCAGUGUUGUAGCUGAGCUUUGGACUUGACGUAAAGAAAACAACCCGGGGCAGCUAGA